UGGGGAAUCUUCCGCAAUGGACGAAAGUCUGACGGAGCAACGCCGCGUGAGUGAAGAAGGUUUUCGGAUCGUAAAACUCUGUCUUUUGGGGCGAACGUGAGUAUGGUGAACAAUCAUAGUCAGUGACGGUACCAAAGGAGGAAGCCACGGCUAACUACGUGCCAGCAGCCGCGGUAAUACGUAGGUGGCAAGCGUUGUCCGGAAUUAUUGGGCGUAAAGAGCGCGUAGGCGGGAUAGUCAGUCUGUUGUAAAGUGCGGGGCUCAACCCCGUGAUGGCAAUGGAACAGCUAUUCUUGAGUGCAGGAGAGGAAAGUGGAAUUCCCAGUGUAGCGGUGAAAUGCGUAGAUAUUGGGAGGAACACCAGUGGCGAAGGCGACUUUCUGGACUGUGUCUGACGCUGAGGCGCGAAAGCCAGGGGAGCGAACGGGAUUAGAUACCCCGGUAGUCCUGGCCGUAAACGAUGGGUACUAGGUGUGGGAGGUAUCGACCCCUUCCGUGCCGGAGUUAACGCAAUAAGUACCCCCGCCUGGGGAGUACGGUCGCAAGACUGAAACUUAAAUGAAUUGACGGGGUCAUAGCUGUUUCCUG
rnacentral:rRNA from 1 species